UGUCCUUUACAAGGCUGCUCACUAAGU
rnacentral:piRNA from 1 species